UACGGAGGGGGCUAGCGUUGUUCAGAAUUACUGGGCGUAAAGCGCACGUAGGCGGCUUUGUAAGUCAGAGGUGAAAUCCCGGGGCUCAACUCCGGAACUGCCUUUGAGACUGCAUCGCUUGAAUCCAGGAGAGGUGAGUGGAAUUCCGAGUGUAGAGGUGAAAUUCGUAGAUAUUCGGAAGAACACCAGUGGCGAAGGCGGCUCACUGGACUGGUAUUGACGCUGAGGUGCGAAAGCGUGGGGAGCAAACAGG
rnacentral:rRNA from 1 species